rnacentral:rRNA from 1 species
GUUAGGAAUAUUGGACAAUGGGCACAAGCCUGAUCCAGCCAUGCCGCGUGAGUGAUGAAGGCCUUCGGGUUGUAAAGCUCUUUAGCCGAUGAUUAUAAUGACUGUAGUCGGAAAAUAAGCCCCGGCUAACUUCGUGCCAGCAGCCGCGGUAAUACGAAGGGGGCGAGCGUUAUUCGGAAUCACUGGGCGUAAAGCGUGCGUAGGCGGCUUUGCAAGUUGGGAGUGAAAGCCCAGGGCUCAACCCUGGAAUUGCUCUCAAAACUGCAAGGCUCGAAUUCGGGAGAGGAUAGCGGAAUUGUCAGUGUAGCAGUGAAAUGCGUAGAUAUUGACAGGAACACCAGUGGCGUAAGCGGCUAUCUGGACCGAUAUUGACGCUGAGGCACGAAAGCGUGGGGAUCAAACAGGAUUAGAUACCCUGGUAGUCC